GACAAAGUGACAGCUGACGCACACAUGUAACCGUUAGAUUUCUUCAUUCAUCCAUCCGCCUUCGACUUUGAUUCGUGUCCGUGGUGUGACAAAAAGAGGAAAAGUUAUAUUUUCCUCCCCGCAGUAUAAAUUCUUAUCAGCGCGAUUCAACCUUCUGAUAUUGUUGUUCCAUCUCCGGCCAGAGCUUCAUAUUGUCUGGCAACAAGUUGGGAAAAUCGCACAUACGUCAAAAGAGCAAAACGACAGACGAAAAGUCAGUCAGUCCAUAUCGAAAGACAGCAGCAGCAAAAAGUAAGGCAAUCGCUCCGAAUCAGCGCCACACAGUCACAGUGUCAGGAGAGCCUAGCAACGAACCACAAGUCGAGCGAUACGUCGUCGUGGGAGUGCGAGUGUGUGAAGAAAAAAAUGUCUUGAAAAAAAAAUCACUUUUAACUUGCGCCGAUUAGGAAAUGUGUAAUGUUUUUUGAAAUUGCUGUUCAAGAAUGCCGAUUCAGGCGCCACAAUGGACAGAAUUCCUCAGCUGUCCGGUUUGCUGCAACGAAUUUGCGGCAAAUCUUCGUCCACCAAUCAGUCUAGGAUGUGGCCACACCAUAUGCCGUACUUGCUUGGCGACGCUGCACAGGAAGCAGUGUCCAUUCGAUCAGGUGAGUUGGGUAAUUCUCCAAUAAGAUUUGCUAGUAAUUAGCUAGCAUGGUAUGAGUAAUCGGUUGUAUGGAAUCGUUUAGUGGAGUGUAUUCAGCCAAAUCAAUGUUUGAUUGCAUAUUUUGGGCUAAAAGCAACCGGAAACAAUU